rnacentral:lncRNA from 1 species
UAUUGCCAUCGAUUGUUGUGGGUUGUGUCUCCGCGGCGGCUUAUGGCUUUUGACAACGAACGGCGGAGCAUCGUGCAAGUAGCACCGCAAGGUGCCGUGCGCACGGCACCUUGCGGCGCUACUUGCAUCUUAUUGCCAUCGAUUGUUGUGGGUUGUGUCUCCGCGGCGGCUUAUGGCUUUUGACAACGAACGGCGGAGCAUCAUGCAAGUAGCACCGCAAGGUGCCGUGCGCACGGGGCGAAGCCUAGUAAGUUGUUGAUUGCCAUCAGUUGUUGCGGGAAACAUCGGC